GAUCAUGGCUCAGGAUGAACGCUGGCGGCGUGCCUAACACAUGCAAGUCGAGCGGGAAAUACUUGAUUGAAACUUCGGUCGAUUGAUAGUAUGGAGAGCGGCGGACGGGUGAGUAACGCGUAGGCAACCUGCCUUAUGCAGAGGGAUAGCCAUUGGAAACGAUGAUUAAAACCUCAUAAUGCCAAGGGUUCACAUGUACUUUUGGCCAAAGAUUUAUCGGCAUAAGAUGGG
rnacentral:rRNA from 1 species